UACGUAGGGUGCAAGCGUUGUCCGGAAUUAUUGGGCGUAAAGAGCUCGUAGGCGGUUUGUCGCGUCUGCUGUGAAAACUCGGGGCUUAACCCCGGGCCUGCAGUGGGUACGGGCAGACUAGAGUGCGGUAGGGGGAGACUGGAAUUCCUGGUGUAGCGGUGAAAUGCGCAGAUAUCAGGAGGAACACCUGCGGCGAAGGCGGGUCUCUGGGCCGUAACUGACGCUGAGGCGCGAAAGCCAGGGGGAGCGAACGGGG
rnacentral:rRNA from 1 species